rnacentral:rRNA from 1 species
UACGGAAGGUGCUAUCGUUGUUCGGAAUUACUGGGCGUAAAGAGCGCGUAGGCGGCUUACCAAGUUGGGGGUGAAAUCCCGGAGCUCAACUCCGGAACUGCCUUCAAAACUGGUAGGCUCGAGUCCGGAAGAGGGGCGUGGAAUUCCCAGUGUAGAGGUGAAAUUCGUAGAUAUUGGGAAGAACAUCGGUGGCGAAGGCGGCGCCCUGGUCCGGUACUGACGCUGAGGCGCGAAAGCGUGGGGAGCAAACAGG